rnacentral:rRNA from 1 species
GAUGAACGCUGGCGGCGUGCCUAAUACAUGCAAGUCGAGCGAACGGACGAGAAGCUUGCUUGUCUGAUGUUAGCGGCGGACGGGUGAGUAACUUGUGGAUAACCUACCUAUAAGACUGGGAUAACUUCGGGAGACCGGAGCUAAUACCGGAUAAUAUUUUGAACUGCAUGGUUCAAAAGUGAAAGACGGUCUUGCUGUCACUUAUAGAUGGAUCCGCGCUGCAUUAGCUAGUUGGUAAGGUAACGGCUUACCAAGGCAACGAUGCAUAGCCGACCUGAGAGGGUGAUCGGACACACUGGCACUGAGACACAGUCCCGACUCCUACGGGAGGCAGCAGUACGGAAUCCUCCGCGAUGCGCGAAAGCCUAACGGUGCAACGUGGCGUGAGUGCUGAAGGUCUUCUGAUCCUAGAACUCUGUUAUUCGGGAAGUACAUAUGUGUAAGUAACUGUGCACAUCUUGACGGUACCUAAUCAGAAAGCCACGGCUAACUACGUG